rnacentral:pre_miRNA from 5 species
AGUGGAAUUGCUGGAUUAUAUGGUCGGUUUAGGUUUAAUUUUUAAGAAACUGUCAAGCUGUUUUCUAAAGUGGCUGUAUUAUUUUGCAUUCUCACCAGCAAU